GCUUGACCCAAAACUUCUGACUGCUUUUAGAGCUGUUGUCACAGGAUCUACACCUGAAACUAAGAAGCCUUUGGUGGAUCUGAAGGCAAAGAGGUCACUGUUGCAGAAGGGAAAAGUACGUGAAAACCUAACCAAAAAAAUUUAUGGUAUUGGAGGAAGACGACGGCGAGCAUGGACUCGUGAUUGUGAAGUAGAAUUUUG
rnacentral:misc_RNA from 1 species